rnacentral:rRNA from 1 species
UACGUAGGGUGCGAGCGUUGUCCGGAAUUAUUGGGCGUAAAGAGCUCGUAGGCGGUUUGUCGCGUCUGCUGUGAAAACCCGAGGCUCAACCUCGGGCCUGCAGUGGGUACGGGCAGACUAGAGUGCGGUAGGGGAGAUUGGAAUUCCUGGUGUAGCGGUGGAAUGCGCAGAUAUCAGGAAGAACACCCGUGGCUAAGGCGGCUCUCUAGGACGGUACUGACGCUGAGACGCGAAAGCGUGGGGAGCGAACAGG